rnacentral:rRNA from 1 species
GCUCUGAACGCACGCUGGCGGCACACGCAAUACACACACAUCUAACGCUCCUGCAAUGAACAGUGGCAGACGGGUGAGUAACGCGUGGGAACCUUCCCAUUGGUUCGGAACAGCUCAGGGAAACUUGAGGUAAUACCGUAUACGCCCCAAGGGGGAAAGAUUUAUCGCCAUAGGAUGGGCCCGCGUCGGAUUAGCUAGUUGGUGGGGUAAUGGCCUACCAAGGCGACGAGCCAAAGCUGGUCUGAGAGGAUGAUCAGCCACACUGGGACUGA